AGGGAAUGCGUGGAUUGAUUUUGGGGGUAAUUGCCUCAAAAUUUUAGGAAUUAGGGGCCAAAAAGGGGCAAAAAACAAGCAUUUUUCUAGUUUCAUGACUAACUUGUGUGUAAGUGUAUGGAUCUUUCUGAAAUUGUACUACAAGGUUCCAUAUCACAAAGGGAAAGCUGGAAUUGAGUUUGGGGGUAAUUGCCUAAAACGUUUAGAAAUAAGAUGCCAAAAAGGGGCCAAAAAUAAGCAUUUUUCUAGUUUCCAGACAAUAACUUGUGUUCAAGUGUAUGGAUCUCUCUGAAAUUGUACUGCAAGGUACCAUACCACAAAGGGAAGGCUAGGAUUGAGUUUGGGGGUGAUGAAUCAUAAGGGCGUUCAAAAAAUUUGGGGGGAGGGAUUUUUUUUUUUUCCUUUUUUUCCUUUUUUUUUCUUUAAAAUUUUCCAUUUUAAAUUGGUUAUUUUUGAUUUAUAUAUAAAAGCAAAUAAUAAUGAUAUGGUUUGAAUAGGUAAAUUAAAAAUUUAUAAGUUCUUAAGCCACAUUCAUUCUGUGUCAGAAACCUAUGCUGGGUCAAA